GGGCUAGUAGCUCAGUUGGUUAGAGCACCGCCUUGAUAAGGCGGGGGUCACAGGUUCGAGUCCUGUCUGGCCCACCA
rnacentral:tRNA from 1 species